GAGUAAACUGAUCAUUUAUAUUGCUAAAAAUUGAUGUGCCUGAUGAAAUAAUGAAACAGUAACACGUGGUAUGCCACAUAUCCCUCAUGUUUACGUAUAUGGACCAUUUUUUAACAGUAGAAAUUGAUAAUUUUUUAACCG
rnacentral:pre_miRNA from 1 species